AUUAAUUGAUGGUGUGAAUGGUA
rnacentral:siRNA from 1 species